rnacentral:tRNA from 1 species
GCCUUCAUGGUGUAAUUGGAAGUAUACUCGGCCUGUAUUCGAGAGGUCCGUGGUUCAAGUCCCAGCGAGGGCA